CUAAAAAUGGUCUGUCCCUAGCAGAGGGUACUAUUUUUUUUUAUGCCGAACACAAAACACAUGUGUCAAUGCAGGUGAACGUGCAGCUGUCAACUUUAAUUAAAAGACCCUGAUGGCAUUAAUAAAAACUCGACCGGCGACUUGUCCUGCCCCUAAUUUUACGGAUAGGGCAUCCUAGUUCCAAUCAGGAGGUUAUCAGAAGCCCCGGGUUGAGGGGCCUUGUUGAAGAAACGCAUCCGGGGGCUAGAGUAAGCGGGGUUUCAGUUUGGAGUCGUGAUAUGGCGGACAAUAGGCAUUAUGCUGACGAAGGGCUCGGUCUUCUGGAAGGGGAGUUUACGGGGGGCCAUAAUGUUGAAGACCCCGAGUUGGAGGCCAUCAAAGCCAGGGUUCGUGAAAUGGAGGAAGAAGCAGAGAAACUGAAAGAAGUACAGUAUGAAACUGAGAAACAUCUGAUAAUGAGCCCACAAGCAAGCGGUGUGUUCUACCCAAUGACUGCUGAAGAGAAGGUGGAUGCUGAUAACAGAUCGGUCUAUGUGGGCAAUGUGGAUUAUGGAUCGACUGCAGAUGAGCUGGAAAUUCACUUCAACGGCUGUGGUCCAGUCAAUCGUGUGACAAUUCUGUGUGACAAAUUCUCCGGACAUCCUAAGGGGUUUGCAUACAUUGAGUUUUCAGACCGGGACUCUGUGAAGACAGCCAUGGCUCUGGAUGAGACACUGUUUAGGGGUAGAAUCAUAAAGGUGCUUCCAAAAAGGACCAACAUGCCUGGGAUCAGCUCCACGGACAGGGGGAGUCAAAGGGGUGGGCGCUUGAGGGGGCGGGGCUUCCGCUCCUCCAGAUACAACAGCAGCGGCUACCAGCCAAGACAGCGGGGCCGCUCCUUCAGGUCAGCAUUGCCACAGUCGGGGGCUCGGGUGUCCACAUGAGGAAAAAGGACACAGGUAAAUCCUGCAGGUCCUGACCAAGCCUUUCAAAAGGGGAGGUGGAAGAAUCCCAACUUGGUAUUCUCCUUAUUAAAUAAAUUUAAAAUGGAAAAAUAAAAUGAAAAUAAAGAGAAAUGUGGAUGUGAAGAUAACAUUGCUAUGGUUCAUUUAUUUUACUGUGUUGUACAUUUUCAGAACUACUGUUAAUUUUUUGGCAUGUUUGCAGGAGCAAGUCUACCACAAUUGAAACUGUUUCUUUAGCAGAAUGGGAUUGGGGGCUGCCUGCUGUUGCAGCAUAGCACGCUUUUUCUGUAGAUAACUGUACAAUCGUAUGCCAAAUCAAAGACUGCAUAUGAUAUAUUUCUUUUUUUGGAGAGGGAGGGGUUCAAACUGCUAUCAGUAGCCAAUGCUAGUUUAAAUAUGUUUCUGUACUGUAACGAAUUGCGGUUGUACGAGAAUGUUUUGUCGUUUGUAUAUAUUACAUAUUAAAGGCUUUGUUUUAUUACAAAAAUUUUAACUUUCUGUAAUAAAAUAUACAUACUAAUGAUGGGCUACUACUGUAAUAUUGCUGGGGUGUUACUUUUGUUUGUGUCUAGUCAGAGGUAACCUGCAUAGAGACUGAAUUACUGAUUUGAUAUGCACAUUUUUUCCAGCAAAGAGUUUAGAAUUUUUUUUUUUUGGGACCAGAUUUAUCUUUUCCAAGAUUACUUAAUAACAAUUUAGAAUGCUGUCAGUCCCUUUCAUUAUGGAGAUAUAUUAGCCUAUUAGGACACAUUUCCUUUUGGUGGUCAUAAUGUAAAGAUCUUACUGUAAUUAACAUGUGGUUUGUUAAAGGAUAACUUCAGCUGACAAACAAUCUGUACCUAUUUAACUCUGACCCAAUAAAACCACAGUAUUUAAAAUAAAAUUACCUUGGUUAAUGGA